rnacentral:rRNA from 1 species
ACCCAGACUCCUACGGGAGGCAGCAGUGGGGAAUAUUGCACAAUGGGGGAAACCCUGAUGCAGCGACGCCGCGUGAGUGAAGAAGCGCCUCGGCGCGUAAAGCUCUGUCAGCAGGAACGAUAAUGACGGUACCUGAAGAAGAAGCCCCGGCUAACUACGUGCCAGCAGCCGCGGUAAUACGUAGGGGGCAAGCGUUAUCCGGAUUUACUGGGUGUAAAGGGAGCGUAGACGGCAUGGCAAGUCAGAUGUGAAAGCCCGGGGCUCAACCCCGGGACUGCAUUUGAAACUGUCAGGCUGGAGUGCAGGAGAGGUAAGUGGAAUUCCUAGUGUAGCGGUGAAAUGCGUAGAUAUUAGGAAGAACACCGGUGGCGAAGGCGACUUUCUGGACUGUAACUGACGUUGAGGCACGAAAGUGUGGGGAGCAAACAGGAUUAGAUACCCGGGUA